rnacentral:tRNA from 1 species
GUCUCAGCGGCGUAGUGGUUAACGCACGGCACCGGUUAGGUGCGGGCGAGACGCGGGUUCAAAUCCCGCCUGAGAUG